rnacentral:rRNA from 1 species
GAUGAACGCUGGCGGCGUGCCUAAUACAUGCAAGUCGAGCGAACAGAUGAGGAGCUUGCUCCUCUGACGUUAGCGGCGGACGGGAGAGUAACACGUGGAUAACCUACCUAUAAGACUGGGAUAACUUCGGGAAACCGGAGCUAAUACCGGAUAAUAUAUUGAACCGCAUGGUUCAAUAGUGAAAGACGGUUUUGCUGUCACUUAUAGAUGGAUCCGCGCCGCAUUAGCUAGUUGGUAAGGUAACGGCUUACCAAGGCAACGAUGCGUAGCCGACCUGAGAGGGUGAUCGGCCACACGGGAACUGAGACACGGUCCAGACUCCUACGGGAGGCAGCAGUAGGGAAUCUUCCGCAAUGGGCGAAAGCCUGACGGAGCAACGCCGCGUGAGUGAUGAAGGUCUUCGGAUCGUAAAACUCUGUUAUUAGGGAAGAACAAAUGUGUAAGUAACUAUGCACGUCUUGACGGUACCUAAUCAGAAAGCCACGGCUAACUACGUG